GUAAAAAAAAUCUGUAAAAUAACAGUUAAAUGACUGUAUAUUUUAACAGAUUUUUUCCGUAUACACGUAUUACGGGUGUUUUUCCGUUUAUAUACAUUUUCGAAUUGCAUUGUGGGAAGGGGAUCGCAGCUCAGACAGCGUUUGAUGGACACCGGGACAUAUUUCUUCCUCUGUUUUUUCCCUGGUAAGUACGAUUAAUAAAACAUAUAACAAUAUUUUAGUUAAAAGACUGCUUUAUUACCUUUUUAUCGUUAUUUAAAAUGAUUUUUGUCUUUUAUGAAGCGCCCAUGGAAAGUACAGCAUUGUUUGUCCGUAUUUUUCUAAACUGCCGUGCGCGGGAAGUGGCGUGACGUCCCAAUCACCCACUCACUCCCUCUGCACCUGACUGGAUUAACGGUAAACGUCAGUUUGUCUGUAAGAGUGUAAAAGGUUCUUUCAUUUUGGUUAUAAGUACAUGUUACAGGUAAAUUCUUAGAUUCAAUCCAAACUGAAUUUGAAUUAAUACGGACAAAUGAAAUAAAAUACACCUGGGAUUUUAAAUGUUUUCAUUUUUUUAUUAUUCACAACGUUUGUGAAGUCUAAAUGUAGACUGUCUCAAACUGAAUGAGUGUUAUUUUUGUUGUAGGUGUGUUGGUGUAAAAAUUG